AAUAGAUACCCGGGUAGUCCAUGCCGUAAACGAUGUCUACUAGCCGUUGGGGCCUUUGAGGCUUUAGUGGCGCAGCUAACGCGAUAAGUAGACCGCCUGGGGAGUACGGUCGCAAGACUAAAACUCAAAUGAAUUGACGGGGGCCCGCACAAGCGGUGGAGCAUGUGGUUUAAUUCGAUGCAACGCGAAGAACCUUACCUGGUCUUGACAUACAGAGAACUUUCCAGAGAUGGAUUGGUGCCUUCGGGAACUCUGAUACAGGUGCUGCAUGGCUGUCGUCAGCUCGUGUCGUGGGAUGUUGGGUUAAGUCCCGCAACGAGCGCAACCCUUUUCCUUACUUGCCAUCGGGUCAUGCCGGGAACUUUAAGGAUACUGCCAGUGACAAACUGGAGGAAGGCGGGGGCGACGUCAAGUCAUCAUGGCCCUUACGACCAGGGCUACACACGUGCUACAAUGGUCGGUACAAAGGGUUGCUACCUAGCGAUAGGAUGCUAAUCUCAAAAAGCCGAUCGUAGUCCGGAUUGGAGU
rnacentral:rRNA from 1 species